rnacentral:rRNA from 1 species
UACGUAGGGUGCAAGCGUUGUCCGGAAUUAUUGGGCGUAAAGAGCUCGUAGGCGGUCUGUCGCGUCGGCUGUGAAAACUCGGGGCUCAACCCCGAGCCUGCAGUCGAUACGGGCAGACUAGAGUGCUGUAGGGGAGACUGGAAGUUCCUGGUGUAGCGGUGAAAUGCGCAGAUAUCAGGAGGAACACCGGCGGUGUAGACGGCUUUCUUGGACCGUAGCUGACGCUGAGACACGAAAGCGUGGGUAGCAAACAGG